ACCUAGUUGCUUCGUCAUUGCGUACAAUAAUUGGUCCUUUGGAGAUCCUUGCAAAUAGGUUGGGUCCUAAGCUCCUACAAUCGGAACCGUCCCUUUAAUUCAAUUGCUCCUUGUUGCGCACAUCCUCCCUGGCAUGCAGUAAGCAGCGAGCAACCCACGGUGGCCAUUGGCCCAGCAGAAAGCAGACCUUGCCUUAAACGUACUCCACCCAGUUCCUUAACUGAUUGCCGCAGAACGGCUUGGCUGCAGAAAGCAGACGGUUCUCCUUUCGGCUUCUGGUUUCUGGAACUGACGGAGAGGAUUUCAGGUUCUUCAGGAUAGUGAGAGAAAAAUAUUUGCCCAAGGCACCUGUUUCAUCAUGCAAAUUCUUCUGGGAUAUUUCCUCUUCACUGUGCUUCUAAGAACAGCCCAUCAGCUGGGACUCAGGAGGCAGCAAUAGAUUGGGGGUGAGGCCAAAUAAAAGGUGCAACUUUCCAAUGUAUCAACUGUCAGAAGGAGGGAGCUUCAACCUGCACGGACUCAUUAAAGAACUGUAACCAAGGUGAAAAUUCCUGUCUGAGGAGCCUGACCGAAAUCGUCAAAGAUGAAAAAACACAAACCAACAUAAUCCUGUCUUGUGCACCCCUUACCCACUGCAAGAAUCAGUUUAUCGAGCUGUCUUACGGGAAAGGAAUUUACGUAAGAAAACAGUACGAUUGCUGCAAAACUGACGGCUGCACCCCUCCCUCUACAAAAAUGCUUCCACUAAACACCACUAUCAACGGGAAACAUUGUCCAGUCUGCUCUUUAGAGACAGGUCACUGUUCAGAUGAUGUUCCUCUGAAAUGUACUGGAUCUGCAAUAUAUUGUUUUGAAGCUACUAUUAAAGAUGACCCAAAGAAACCCGUAAAAGGAUGUACCACAGAAUCCAUCUGUAAUAUAUUAAAAACCUACCCAGGGCCACUUAUUGGAAAUUCUGCGAUCCAGGAUGUAACCUGCCAAGAAGCCAAGAGUGAUAGCAGCUCUUCUUCUCUUGAAGUUUUCCUCCUGGCUCUUCUGCCGAUGAAGCUUUUCCUCCUUAGUGCCUAUUGAAGAAAACAUUUCUGACUGUUCACCGAGAGACAAGUUAAGUUUGGCACUCCAUUUCCUUUCCCCAGUAUGGUCAUUUGGAGAUAUUUUGAUUUUCUUUUUAUUUGAACAAGUCAAAUAAAAGUUGGACAUUAAGGAUGCCCUAAAUGUUGACAGAAGACUCACAUCGGUGUAGCUUUCUUUCUUUCUUUCUUUCUUUCUUUCUUUCUUUCUUUCUUUCUUUCUUUCCUUUCUUUCUUUCUUUCUUUCUUUCUUUUCUUUUAUUGUUUUUUUAAAAUAUAUUUUUAUUGUUCACAUAUUAAUAUAUUGGAUACAGUGCAGUUGUCCUGGCGUUCCACUUGCCAUGAAACAAAAGUAAAAUAACAUAUAUGUUAUUUUAAACAGUGCUAGUUUGUACAGUUAUUUCUGACCAUCAUAUUCUAGAAUGUCCAGCUUAUCUAUCAUUCUAAUAUCUACGUUCUAAUACAUACAUAGUGUCUCUUUCCAUGUCCACCUAACCUGAUUCUUUCGCAUUCCAACUUCUACCUCGUGUAUCCCAUGUAGCAUAAUAUUCUGUAUCUCCUUUAUGUUUUAUAAUUAGCGUUAGGUCUGUCCAUUUCUGCACAUACCAGUAUCUUCCUUAUCGUCUCCUCCUCUGAGGGAGUGUUUUCGCACUUCCACUGCUGCGCAUACACAAUUCUUGCUGCGGUCAAGAUGUGUAAUAUUAGGUAUAUUGUCAUCCCUUUAUUAUAACCAUCUGAUAUAAUGCCUAAUAAAAAUAAUUCUGGCUUAAA